GCAGCAGAAUGAAGAUGCUUCAAACUGCUUCAUGUCCCUUUUGUGUUGAAUAAUUCCAAUAUUUGAAGCUGUAAUCAAGUGGAAUCCAAUGGCAAUUAGGUAGUUGUUUAAAUUUGUUGACAAAGACCAGGUAAAAGUGAGAUCCUUUGAAUGCACCUUGAUGAAGUCAGUUGCUUUCCAGUAUUUCUGCUGCUUUCCAGUAGUGCCAGUAGUCUCUGAGAACAUGAUGUGAAAACAGCCCAAAGCACAAGUUUCAUCCAGGAAAAGAAUGCCAUUCUUUGCAGAUACUGCAAGAUGACACAGGCAAAAUAUUUCCUAUCCCAGUUUCAGCACCAAGGAAUAGGAAUGCCUCAUGGCAGUGUCAAUUCAGCCAGAGAGCUGGACCCUGUACAAAUGUCCAGCUGGAUGAAAAAACCCUGAAAGAACAGUCUGCCAGAAAAAAACAACAGUCAAAACAGGAAGUAUUGGAACCUUACAGCAUUGAUAUUAGCCUAGAAUUUUCUCUAUUUUUAUGGGCCUCCAUAUGGCAGUGUUUGUUGAGGAGAAAGAAUUUAUAG
rnacentral:lncRNA from 1 species